ACUUUGCUCCAGCCAGCCUCUGUAUCUCAUGUAUCAGCGUCCCCACACUUCAAAAUGGCAGCAACAAUACGGAUACAUGACAUACUCUGGGUGCUUUAAUUAAAGCAUCCUCCCACCCAGUCUUGGAACAGGUAUAAAAACAGCCAUAAAUGUUUAAAGGGAAAAAAUCCCACAGGGCAGGUCAACCAUAGGAAGGGAGGCAAGGUUUUCACAAUGAGAUGGCUAAUUCAAGUUUAGGUCUCUCUCAAUGCCAGUGGAGAAUGAGGCACAAGAUAAAAUUAUCUGUAUAUAGCCAGUCAUGGAAAACCCCUAAACUCCCCCAUACCAUUACCUUGACCAGCUACACUGAGGUGAAAUUAACCUGUCUUGGGUAUCAGAAGAUUUUACAAAGUGGCUAAAUCAUUUAAAAACACACACUUUUCCUAGUAAAGAUAUUGUCUACAAGGAGAUAGAACCCUCGUCUCAAAUGUAUUCAUAGUUAUUAGAAUUUCAUGGUUAAGUUUUUCAUUCCACAACAAAGCCAAAAGUAUGGCAAUAAACUCAAGUUCUCCAGGUACCCUUUAUUUUUCCCCAGUAUUGAUAACAGCUAGAGUUUAGAUGCUACUGGGGCCACAAAAUCAAAUGCUGGGCCAGUUCAUCAAGGGUUCUCAGACUGAGAACAUAGUUUACAAGACUAAGCUAUCUUUAAUCUUUCAAGUGACUGCAUAAGAUAUCUAAUAAAUCUGCAGUUACACUGCAACUUGACAGGGCUCCUGGCUUCUGUGCAAAUCAAACUUCAUCUAUCAACAAUCAAUAUAUAGAGAAGAAAUUAGAAGCAUUGUUUCUUCACAUUCAUGGGGGAAGGAAAUAGGAGAAUUCUCUACGCCCUCUGGCUUUUUUCUUUCCUGACCAAAAUCGCCUGGAUCUUAAUCAGGCUUCAACUGACUUGCCUGAGGGCAUUAAAUGACACCUUUUCUAUUUGAAUCAGCUGGAACAAAAAAUUAGUGAACUUUCCAGAGAUAAUUAAAUCAAGUCUGACUGCCCAGGAAGCAAGCUCCUUUUCUCCAAAAUACGUCACCUGGGAAUUCCUUAUCACUACGAUAGUGCAGUCUGGUUUCAAAGGUACUCAAGAAUCAAUCUGUAGGAGAAGUUUGCCUAAAACCAGGAGAUCACUGCAGCUCUCUUGAAGAGGAACUCUAGAGACUGAUGUAAUAUAACAAAGCUGAUUACAGGCCUCCUGAGAAGGAAUAGUUUGUCCUCCAGAGAGCGUGAAAAGAUGCAGACUUCAAGGCUCAGCUCCAGAAAAGAAGGCAUAAGCAGCUGAAGUAGAACACGAGCACCUCAGUGUACAUAGGUCUACAACUACUCUCCUGAAAGCUCCCGCUUGACCUGCUGUGGUCGAGUGAGGCCCUAGCAGCACCAGGCGAGUCGCGCUAUAAAGGGCACGCGCGCUCAGCGAGCGCACCCGAAGAGGAAGACGCUCUACGCCACGCGCCUGCACCCUGACAAGCCUCGGGAUUCUCCCACUUCGGUCCGGCGUCGGAGCCAGCGGCGAGGCGCACGCCCAAUAAGGCAUCUUCCGGCCGCUGCCUGUCAGCAGCGCCCUCCGCCCCACCCCUCUCCUCCCUCGCAUGCGCUCUCCGACACCGACUGGUGCACGCGCUCUCCGUCCCUUCGGGCAUCCGGAAGCGGGCGGGCCGUUGGGCGGCGCAUGCGCCACGCGCUCUUGACGCAACUCCCCUGCGCGUGCGCUGAGUCCGCCAGUUCCUCCGCGUCGCACGUGGCCUGUCACCCGCUCUCGCGCGGCGCAUGCGCAACUGCUCACUUCCCCCUGCCUCCCCCCGCCCCGAUCUCGGCACACGCCUCCUUCCUGUGACCAGGCCCUUCCUGGCGCGCAUGCGCCCUUGCCCUCCUUCCCUCUCCCUUCCCCUCUCAACGAGCUCGGACGCCGUACGCACCUCC